UUCUUUGCUUGCACUUCUUCCUCGACUGCCUCUACUCUCUAAGAAGUCUGCUCGUAAGCAUCUUCAGCUGACUCGCUUAGCGGACUCCUCUCUUAAAUCAUCCUUCAGCUUUGUAACCUCUGCCACCAGCUCCUCAUUUUCACCCUCUAGGUGAACUAAUUUUCACUCCAUAUUUUCAAGACGUGCAUCAAGCCCUUGGAUUUCCUCAUUCUUCUGACCUAUAGUGGCUUGGCGUGCAUCUGUCAAUCCCUCCAACUCUUUGACUCUAUCCUGCAACUCAAUAUUACAG
rnacentral:lncRNA from 1 species